ACUUGAACGUUGCCAGCUCCCGCACCCCAGUCCAGAUGCACUUGUGCGGUAGGAAUGCGAUACACUGCCCCCCCUGCCACUCUCACAGCAAUAGAUUUCCCCGGCUUUUCCAACGCGUUGAUGCGAUGUCGUUGCACUAGGGUGAUGGUAGCGCCACUGUCUCUUAGCCCCCGUGCUGUCUUUCCGUUGACCAUUACCAGCUGACAAUGG